rnacentral:rRNA from 1 species
CCUACGGGAGGCAGCAGUGAGGAAUAUUGGUCAAUGGACGCAAGUCUGAACCAGCCAUGCCGCGUGCAGGAAGACGGCUCUAUGAGUUGUAAACUGCUUUUGUACGAGGGUAAACGCAGAUACGCGUAUCUGUCUGACACUAUCGUACGAAUAAGGAUCGGCUAACUCCGUGCCAGCAGCCGCGGUAAUACGGAGGAUUCCAGCGUUAUCCGGAUUUAUUGGGUUUAAAGGGUGCGUAGGCGGUCGGAUAAGUUAGAGGUGAAAUCCCGAGGCUCAACUGCGGAAUUGCCUCUGAUACUGGUCGGCUAGAGAGUAGGUGCGGUAGGCGGAAUGCAUGGUGUAGCGGUGAAAUGCGUAGAGAUCAGACAGAACACCGAUUGCGAAGGCAGCUUACCAAGCUACGACUGACGCUGAGGCACGAAAGCGUGGGGAGCAAACAGGAUUAGAUACCCGUGUAGUC